UGGCCUUGACAUACUAAGAACUUUCCAGAGAUGGAUUGGUGCCUUCGGGAACUUAGAUACAGGUGCUGCAUGGCUGUCGUCAGCUCGUGUCGUGAGAUGUUGGGUUAACGUCCGCAACGAGCGCAACCCUUUUCCUUAUUUGCCAGCGGGUAAUGCCGGGAACUUUAAGGAUACUGCCAGUGACAAACUGGAGGAAGGCGGGGACGACGUCAAGUCAUCAUGGCCCUUACGGCCAGGGCUACACACGUGCUACAAUGGUCGGUACAAAGGGUUGCUACCUCGCGAGAGGAUGCUAAUCUCAAAAAAGCCGAUCGUAGUCCGGAUCGCAGUCUGCAACUCGACUGCGUGAAGUCGGAAUCGCUAGUAAUCGCGGAUCAGAAUGCCGCGGUGAAUACGUUCCCGGGCCUUGUACACACCGCCCGUCACACCAUGGGAGUUUGUUGCACCAGAAGUAGGUAGUCUAACCGCAAGGAGGACGCUUACCACGGUGUGGCCGAUGACUGGGGUGAAGUCGUAACAAGGUAAGCGUAGAUGA
rnacentral:rRNA from 1 species